ACCAGCAGAGUUCAGUUAGCCUCACGAAGGACUUACACCUUUCUGGGGGGAUGAGGGCACCGUGAGAAGCUGCUGAGAGGAAGAGACAGAGAAUACCCUGAGCUGAAGUUGAGAAGGUCAUAGGUAUGGUAAUCAUUGAUUCACCUCUACUGUGGAAGAAGCACCAAGGUUUUUGGCCAACAGUGGGAUCCUAUGUGCCUACAGAUAGAAAUCCUUGAACUACAAAACAGGGACUGGAGAAUCCUCAGGUGACAGAACACAUGCCUUUACUGCAAGUGAUACCAUUCAAGCUUUCUGCAGGGAGCCAAACUGGAGUGUAAUGAUUACAUUGAAGAGUACCUCGGAGAAGGAGGAUGGAGUAAUGCAAGAGAAACUAAGACUGAAAGCAGAAACUGACAUUUCAUCUUGCAUUAUAGCCCAUGGGACAGAAGGCACAAAUACAGUAAAUUACCUGUAAGAGUC